GCGAUGGGGAGAAAGGUACACCUAUCGGUUACAUCUUAGAGACGCUUAAAAUAGAGGAGCCUAUGGCGAGGUAAAAUAGUUAUAUAUUUACUUUUUUCUAAUUGACAAUUUACUUGUUUUGAAACGAAUAAAAUUUAUUAAUUCUGUGAUCUUACGUUGCAGGGAGGCCUUGGCCAUAUUAAUUGAGAUUGGAGAAAUUUAUACAACGGUGGACAAGGACCAUUUCAAGGCGAUUUGAGAAAAGAAUUAACUUUCUUUGGGGUGAAGCAUGUGAGCUGCCCUUAAUGUAGUAGUAUUCGCAAUGGGUGCUAGCUAGUACUGUUGUCGUCUUUUGAUCAUGCUUCCCAAUAUUGUUUUCUGAAACUUCCACGAAGCAUUCGAUCGAUCUCCUUAAUAAUUUAAGGUUAGGAUUAUUGUAGUUUGUUUAAGAACGCCAGGACUGUUGCAUUAUUGAUCCAUCUGUGACGAUCCCUGAAUUACCAAUGUUUUAAAUUACCCUGGUAUUUUCAUUAUUCAAAAUUGCUUCCAUUAUGCUGUUUUUUUAUUGCUUCUUUACUGAACAAUAAUUGUGCAUUUCAUGUGAUUA
rnacentral:lncRNA from 1 species